rnacentral:sRNA from 1 species
UACAAAUUUUCGUACAUUCGUGCUCAUGU